CAGAAAAUAGUUUAUAGUAAAAAAUAUUAAUUUUGGAGAUUAAUGAAAAAAGAAUAUUUUUUUUUCUGA
rnacentral:tRNA from 1 species